rnacentral:rRNA from 1 species
UACGGAGGAUCCAAGCGUUAUCCGGAUUUAUUGGGUUUAAAGGGUGCGUAGGCGGAACGAUAAGUCAGUGGUGAAAGCCUGCAGCUUAACUGUAGAAUUGCCGUUGAUACUGUCGUUCUUGAGUAUAUUUGAUGUGGGCGGAAUGUGUCAUGUAGCGGUGAAAUGCUUAGAUAUGACACAGAACACCGAUUGCGAAGGCAGCUCACAAAACUAUAACUGACGCUGAGGCACGAAAGCGUGGGGAUCAAACAGG